rnacentral:rRNA from 1 species
AAGGGCCGCGGUAUUUCUGACCGUGCGAAGGUAGCAUAAUCACUAGUCUUUUAAUUGGAGGCUUGAAUGAAUGGUUGGACGAAAAACUUACUGUUUAAGUAAAAAAUUUGAAUUUAACUUUUAAGUGAAAAGGCUUAAAUAAAUUAAAAAGACGAUAAGACCCUAUAAAUCUUUACAUUUUAUUUUGUUCUUAGAGUUGUUAAAAGAGAGUGGGAGAAGUAGUUUUGUUGGGGCAACAAUGAUAUGGUAAAAUUAACUGUUAUUGUAAUUGAACAAAUAGUUUGUUGAUGAUCCUUUUUAAAGAUUAUGAGAUUAAGUUACUUUAGGGAUAACAGCGUUAUUUUUUUUGAGAGUUCUUAUCGAAGAAAAAGAUUGCGACCUCGAUGUUGAAUUAAAAGAUCUUUUUAAUGUAGCAGUU